GCGGCUAGGGUAGCGGUAACCUGCGGCCUUCCCAUGACCGCGCCUCGGGUUCGACUCCCGGUGGCCGCA
rnacentral:tRNA from 1 species